GUACAUCUCAUUUUCACAAAUUUUCUAUAAAAGAGAUUUUAGACAGAUUUCCGACUUGCAAUAUGACUUUUUCGGACGGCUUGCAAAAUAUCACGGGAGCUGCCAAUCGAUUUAGAAUUUUUCUGGGUGGUACUUCACUAACAUCAUUGCGACUUGAAGCAUAUUUUCCUUAGUCUGAAUCAAAUGACUAUCAAAUCCAAAUAAUUUUAAGUACCUCAAUUAUCUAAUAUUAAAAAUUAGCCAAUAGGCCUUUGCAUUUGCGGGUAAUUUUGGAUCUAGGUUCCAGAACUCUGCACUACUUCGGUUUUCAGGUACCCGGGGCCGAUUUCACCAAACUCACCGUAAGUUGCGACCAAUUGUAGAGUUGCAAUGCAUCGUAGCGCUACGAUCAAUUGUAGUUACGAUGGAUUCUAAAAUGGAUUUCACGAAACACGUCGUAAGCGCGAUUCGUUGUAUUUUUUAAUAAGAGGGGGUACAUUUAUUGAACGAGGAUGAACCUUUGACGGCUGUUCCAUGUUUGUUAGCACGAGGGAAUUUAGUGUUAGUACAACAGUCGUUCCGCCAAGAUCAACAUGGCGACGAUUACGCUGAUGCACAGAAAUGACAGAAAACAAUUGGACAACUCAGUGUGAUGGAGGAUUGGCAAAGUGUGUCGUCUGCUAGGAAGUGAAAGUGACGUUCGGCAUUUGAGGUGGGAUCUAGAAUGGGCGUCAUGAGCCAUUGCCGCAGAGGGUAGCCCGUGUCACCAAUAAGUACUCCAUGAAGCCUGAAAUUCAAUGGAUGGCACUAUCAUGUGUGCAUCAUGGCGGAUCAUGUGUGCAUCAUGAAGACGGAUGUGGGUUCCAUCUACAGCACCCACCACCU